AACGAACGCUGGCGGCAUGCCUAACACAUGCAAGUCGAACGAGACCUUCGGGUCUAGUGGCGCACGGGUGCGUAAGGCGUGGGAACCUGCCCUUAGGGUCGGAAUAACUCCCCGUAAGGGGUGCUAAUCCCGGAUAAUGUCUUCGGACCAAAGAUUUAUCGCCUUUGGCUGGGCCCGCGUUGGAUUAGCUAGUUGGUAGGGUAAAAGCCUACCACGGCGACGAUCCAUAGCUGGUCUGAGAGGAUGAUCAGCCACACUGGGACUGAGACACGGCCCAGACUCCUACGGGAGGCAGCAGUGGGGAAUAUUGGACAAUGGGCGAAAGCCUGAUCCAGCAAUGCCGGGUGAGAGAUGAAGGCCUUAGGGUUGUAAAGCUCUUUUACCCGGGAGGAUAAUGACAGUACCGGGAGAAUAAGCGCCGGCUAACUCCGUG
rnacentral:rRNA from 1 species